UACGGAGGGCGCAAGCGUUGUUCGGAAUCACUGGGCGUAAAGCGCGUGUAGGCGGCCGGGCUAGUCGGAUGUGAAAUCCCGAGGCUCAACCUCGGAACUGCAUUCGAAACUGCCCGGCUCGAGUCCCGGAGAGGAUGGCGGAAUUCCCGGUGUAGGGGUGAAAUCCGUAGAUAUCGGGAGGAACACCAGUGGCGAAGGCGGCCAUCUGGACGGUGACUGACGCUGAGACGCGAAAGCGUGGGGAGCAAACAGG
rnacentral:rRNA from 1 species